rnacentral:rRNA from 1 species
UGGGGAAUAUUGGACAAUGGGCGCAAGCCUGAUCCAGCCAUGCCGCGUGAGUGAUGAAGGCCCUAGGGUUGUAAAGCUCUUUCACCGGUGAAGAUAAUGACGGUAACCGGAGAAGAAGCCCCGGCUAACUUCGUGCCAGCAGCCGCGGUAAUACGAAGGGGGCUAGCGUUGUUCGGAUUUACUGGGCGUAAAGCGCACGUAGGCGGACUUUUAAGUCAGGGGUGAAAUGCCGGGGCUCAACCCCGGAACUGCCUUUGAUACUGGAAGUCUUGAGUAUGGUAGAGGUGAGUGGAAUUCCGAGUGUAGGGGUGAAAUUCGUAGAUAUUCGGAGGAACACCAGUGGCGAAGGCGGCUCACUGGACCAUUACUGACGCUGAGGUGCGAAAGCGUGGGGGGCAAACAGG